GCCCCCAUAGCUCAGUUUGGUAGAGCAGAUCACUCUUAAUGAUAAGGUCCCAGGUUCGAGCCCUGGUGGGGGUACCA
rnacentral:tRNA from 1 species